UUCCAUUGACAUCUCCAACUUGGUUUUGUAGUGCUAUUUUGAACCAAUGUCAGGGGGCAGAUUCUAUUCAAAGGUUGAAGUAUUACGCUUUCUUUCUUCUAGGAAAUUUCAUGAACGGACAUCUGAUGAGAAAAAGCACCUCGACAGAAACUCCACUGACAAAGUAAUAGCUCACAUUGAGUACUCUCCAGAUGGCUUGCCUCAUGGAUGGAUCAAAGAAACUAAAUUCAGUGAGGCUAAUGGGAGUCUCAC